rnacentral:tRNA from 2 species
GGGGUCGUAGUUAAUAAUAACGUUUAAUUUGCAAUUAAAAAGUACUGAUAAGUCUUCCUCA